GAUUCCCACCUGUGGUCUUUCUGUGUGGAGUUUGCAUGUUCUCCCCGUGUUUGUGUGGGUUUCCUCCAGAUGCUCUGGUUCCCUCCCACAUUAAAAGACACGCAGGUUAGGUGAAUUGGAAACUUUAUAAUUGUCCAGGGGCAUGAAUGUUUGU